rnacentral:lncRNA from 13 species
AUGCGGUUCAUUCCUACACUGAAGCGGUUUGAUUUAGAAUACAGAUUACCAGCACCAGUCCUGGAAAGCCACAGCUCUAUGGCCCUAACAAAUGUUGUGGUCGGUUUGCACAUCAGUUGGAAAUACAACUCCCCAGGGCUAACGCUGGUAUUGAAACUGCUAGACUACUUUUCUGGAUCUCCCAACCUCCCACGAUUUAAAAAAUUCCUAAAACAAGUCAUGUACUGUGUGAGGGAUCUAACACAGUCUUUGCUAUGCUUACGGGAGACAGGACUUUCAUUGAUGGCUGGAAACGAUCUGGUACAAAUGCAUUGGGGUGGCUGGGGAGAAAGAGGAGACUGCUUGUGGCAGACAGUGAUGACGGUAGAGGAUCCUAAACUUCCUGGUGCCUUUUUUUCUAGCCUGGUAUGCCUGGCCGCCUGAGUAGUGAGGGUGGUUCUGUGUAGAGUGUUGUCCUGUAGGGGGCAUUCUCUUCUCACCGUGGCCCAGAGAGGUAGAUCAGACUUGGCUGGGCCAUAGAGAAUGAUAGAGGCCUCUAGUGGCCAAAAGGCCGUAUUAGCAUGGGCAGCGCCAUUGAGGGCUUCCACCAUUUUAAUGUUGUCAACUGAGUAGGACUUCUAACUUCAUUGGCUGAUCCCUCCUGGUGACCAUGUUGCGAGUCAUCAGGAGGGAUCAGCCAAUCGUGAAGAAAAUUGACUACUUUAAAAUUGAGACUGCCCAUGCAGUCACAGAUGCUAUAAUGGCACAGAUACAAAGAUGAGUCCUCUAUCUCUUUGGGCUGGACUGGACUCUGGGCUGCCUGGCCUGUCAUGGGCCUUGGAACGUCACUGGAGUUUUGUUGAACACGAAUGUCAACGAGGGACAGCGUGGGCCACUUCUGUUGUGCGGAUGGCUGGUCAUUGUAGCGACAGCCCUUCUUAAAUUAGCCCAUAACAUAAAUCCAGCCCCGCCCACCCCCCUACAUCCAUUAAUUUUAGACUGCCUGCAUAUUGACGAGAUUUUUGGGGUGGUAAUUUAACUUAGAACGAUGAACAAAUUAUUUGUCGAUAAAAUCGCCUUUUCGUAUAGUAUCUCAUAUAUAUAUUUAUAUAUAAAAGAAACAGCCUCUACAGUGAUAUCUAUGGUAUACAAAGAGAAACAAUCUGCAAGAUCACACUUUUUUGUGGUUAUUGUUCUACUUAGAGGUUCGCAGGGGAAAGACAAGCCUAGUCGUCGUCAUCAUCAUCCUCCUCCUCCCCUUCGUCCUCAGCAUCCCUCUUCCUCUUCUCCCCUUUGACUCCUGCCUUCUCCUCUGCACAGGACACAAGCCAAUCAAAAAGUCAGACUUUGUCGGACUUUAAAAAAGGUGGCGACAAUCACUUCUAAUCAGGACCAAGUAAAACAGCAAUCAAAUCCAAUUGGCAUUUCCCUUCAUUCUGAAUUCGGCACCCUUAUGAUAUUGUAUCCACAGGCAAUGUGGGAGUUGAUACAAGAUCCACCGUAUGUUCCGCCCACCGACAAGUCUCAAAAACACCAGAGGGGGAAAACAAAACACAGUACCACUAGUAUACAUCUUUUCAGUCACCUAACAAAGGCCACUUUCUAGACUGAAUUACCAUUAGCGAAACAAUGUCAAGUCUAAGGAGUCCAUUUUGGUUUAAUGUUAAUGCCGCUCUCUUACAUCAAAGUCUACUUUCAAAGGUUUCCCAAGACCUCAGAUCUACUACUUACGUAUAAUAUUGUAGCUAAGUAUUUCCCCUGGCAUGUUAUAUAGGAAAGGGUUGAUUUAUACUCCUUGCACACACAUGCAAGUGCGCUGCUUACUGAUCUCACAGUAGGCACAGCUUCCCACUCAGAGUCCUGAAGGAGUAGUUCACAUACAGUGCCUUUGGAAAGUUUUCAGACCUCUUGACUUAAUCUACACAUAAUACCCCAUAAUGACAAAGUGAAAACAGAUUUUUAGACCUUUUUGCAAAUUGAAAAAGAAUAACUAAAAUAUUACAUUUACACAAGUAUUCAGACCCUUUGCUAUGAGACUCAAAAUUGAGCUCAGCUCAUCCUGUUUGAUUCCAUUGAUCAUCCUUGAGAUGUUUCUACAACUUAAUUGGAGUCCACCUGUGGUAAAUUCAAUUGAUUGGACAUGAUUUGGAAAGGCACACACCUGUUUAUAUAAGGUCCUACAGUUGACAGUGCAUGUCAGAGCAAAAAUCAAGAAUUGUCCAUAGAGCAAAGAGACAGGACUGUGCAGUGGCACAGAUCUGGGGAAGGCCACCAAAACAUUUCUGCAGCACUGAAGGUCUCCAAGAACACAGUGGCCUCCAUCAUUCUUAAAUGGAAGUUUGGAACCAACAAGACUCUUCCUAGAGCUGGCUUCCAGGCCAAACUGAGCAAUAGGGGGAGAAGGGCCUUGGUCA